rnacentral:rRNA from 1 species
UACGAAGGUGGCAAGCGUUGUUCGGAUUUACUGGGCGUAAAGGGAGCGUAGGUGGUUAGGUAAGCCCUCCGGGAAAUCUUCAGGCUUAACCUGAAAAGGUCGGGGGGGACUGCCUGGCUAGAGGACGGGAGAGGAGCGCGGAAUUCCCGGUGUAGCGGUGAAAUGCGUAGAUAUCUGGAGGAAUACCGGUGGCGAAGGCGGCAUCCUGGACCAUUACUGACGCUGAGGCGCGAAAGCUAGGGGAGCAAACGGG